UGGGAUGACGUCAAGUCAGCAUGGCCUUAUGUCCUGGGCUACACACACGCUACAAUGGCCAGUACAAUUGGUAGCUAAGCCGCGAGGUGGAGCCAAUCCGUAAAAGCUGGCCUCAGUUCAGAUUGUAGGCUGCAACCCGCCUGCAUGAAGAUGGAGUUGCUAGUAACCGCAGGUCAGCAAUACUGCGGUGAAUACGUUCCCGGGUCUU
rnacentral:rRNA from 1 species